ACAAACCCAGGAUUCAAAGAGUAGAGAAAUGGCGCUUCAUCUCUCUUCUUCGUUUCCUCACAAUCUUUGCCCUGACAAACUUCUAUCGUACUCAGUCUCUCCUUCACAUACACUCCAACUUGCGCAAUCUCUGUUUUCUUUCCCACCGAAAAGUUUAAACCAUUUCCAUCUUAAACUCAACUCUCUCUCAUUCAAACGAAGGUUUUCUCUAUCUUCACAUCUCUCUCUACAAGACUCAGUUCCUCAAAAAUCUCAAAUCCCAGAUGAUGAAAUCACAUCAUCAACUAAAAACUAUAUCUGGGUUAAUCCAAAAAGUCCCAGAGCUUCAAAGUUUCGGCAACAAUCAUAUGAUACAAGGUACAAUUCUCUAACAAAAGUAGCUGAAUCAGUUGACUCAUCUAACCCCACUGAAAUUGACGUUUCCAUGGUUUUGAACGGACUAGGAGAAAACCUAUUAGAACAAGAUGCUGUUAUUGUUCUUAAUAAUAUGAAAAACCCCGAUACUGCUGUUCUUGCACUGAAGUACUUUUUAAAGAAGUUAAAAUCAAGCAGGGAUGUGAUUUUGUACAAUGUGACUUUGAAAGUGUUUAGAAAAAGUAGGAUACAUGAUGGAGCAGAAAAGGUGUUUGACGAAAUGAUUCAAAGAGGUGUUAAACCAGACAAGAUUACUUUUUCGACUUUGAUUAGUUGUGCUAGAUUGGGUGGUCUUCCAGAUAAGGCUAUAGAGUGGUUUGAGAAGAUGCCACAUUUUGGAUGUGAGCCAGAUGAUGUUAUUAAGUCGGCAAUGAUUGAUGCUUAUGCUCGUUUGGGAAAGAAUGAUACGGCUCUGAGCUUGUAUGAUCAAGCUAAAGGAGAAAAUUGGCGGAUCGAUGUGGCUACUUACUCGACUUUGAUUAAAACGUAUACUGCGUUAGGUGAUUUCCAUGGAGCUUUUAAGGUGUUUGAAGAUAUGAAGGCAGUUGGGAUGAAACCGAACUUGACUGUUUAUAACAUAAUAUUGGAUGUUAUGGGAAAAGCUAAGAGGCCCUGGAUGGUGAAAACUGUUUAUAGAGAGAUGACUAGAAAUGGAAUUGCCCCCAAUUGGCCUACCUAUGCUGCACUUAUAAGGGCUUAUGGUAAAGCUCGUUAUGUGGAAGAUGCCUUAAGUAUUUAUAAAGAGGUGAAGGGAAAAGGUUUGGAGUUGAAUGUCGUUCUUUACAACACGCUCCUAUCGAUGUGUGCAGAUAUUGGUUACACUGAUGAAGCCAUCACAAUUUUUGAAGAUAUGAAGAGGUCAGAAACUUCGCAGCCUGAUAGUUGGACAUACUCAUCUUUGAUUACUAUAUAUUCUUCUAAUGGAAAGGUUUUGGAGGCGGAGAGCAUAUUGGGUGAGAUGUUGGAAGCUGGUUUUGAACCUAAUAUAUUUGUCUUAACAUCACUCAUUCAGUGCUACGGGAAAGCAAAUCAGAUAGAUGAUGUUUUGAAGACAUUUGAUCGACUUCUAGACUUGGGUAUAAUCCCUGAUGAUAGAUUCUGUGGCUGUCUUCUCAGUGUUAUGAAUCAAACUCCAAAAGAAGAACUUGGAAAGUUGGUUGGUUGUAUCGAGAAGGCUAAUCCAAAACUUGGUAAUGUGGUGAAGCUACUGGUAGAGGAAGGAGGUGUAAAUGAGUUUAAGCAGGAAACCGCCGAGCUCAUUGACAGCAUUAGCACAGAUGUAAGAAAGGCCUACUGUAAUGUCUUGAUUGACCUCUGUGUUAAUCUGAAUCAGUUUGACAAGGCGUGUGAGCUAUUAGAAUUGGGACUCUCUCUUGAGAUUUACACUGCUAUCCAAUCUAAGUCUCAAACUCAGUGGGCAUUAAAUUUGAAGAGUCUCUCACUUGGUGCAGCACUUACUGCGUUGCACAUAUGGAUAAGUGACUUGUCCAAAGCACUAGAUAAUGGGGAGGAUCUACCACCACUGCUUGGAAUUAAUACUGGUCAUGGAAAACACAAUUCGGAGGGGUUGGCUAGUGUUUUUGCAGCCCAUCUGAAGGAAUUGAAUACCCCAUUUCAUGAGGCUUCAGAUAAGGUUGGCUGGUUUUUUACCACUAAGGUUGCAGCCGUUUCGUGGUUGGAGCUGAGAAAAUUAUCUGAACAAAAUGCUGCUUAAAGUUUUCUAUGCUUUUGGCGUUUAAAUCUAUAAGGAUGUUUCUCAGUUCUGCCCUACAUGACGAUAAAAUGAUGCUCUUCAUGUCUCCACCAAUCUGUGGAGAAUAUACAUGGGUUGAUGGAACUGGAGACCCAUCAACUACUAUGGAUCUCCAAGAAGCUCACCAUCUAUCACUCUUGUUACCGAUUAGGUGACCUUCAAAAAAUAAAAGUAUAUGGGAGCUUAACUAGAUUAUAAUCCUCCAAAUGUUUUACAUGCAUCUUCUCUAAAUGUUGUUUGGAGAUUACUUAAACUGUUGGUCUUCUUUGUUAUGCCUAGAAUGUUGGCUAACUAAGAUAUAUUUAAAGGAAGAAAGUGUCAUGGGAUGUUGUUAAACACACUGUUUCCCGAUGCCAAUAAGCUCACUAGAAUUUCUUAGCUUAUAGGGCAUUUGCAUUUAUUGGCUUUAACUCUCUUCUAUAAAAUCCUAUUAAGUAUAUGAAGACAUGUUUGCAAACUUCUUACGAAGGGACAAAGCUUCUUAUAGGGAGAUCUGUAUGCAUGUAACUCAAUUAAAGAAAAUGUUUUGUUUGCAAACUUCUUACGAAGGGACAAGGCUUCUACAGUCUCAGCUCUUUUAAUUAAAGA